CGACGGAGCAGCGGCCGCGGGGGACCGGGGCCGGCGGCCGCAGGGGGAGCGGCCCCGCCGCCGCCCCGGCCCCGCCGCCCGUGUCGGCGAGGUUGCUCGGGACAGCGAAAUGUAUUAGAUAAGGGUUACUGGAUGCCCAGGAAGAAUGAGUAACCUGAGGAGGUGGAGAAGAAGGAGAAGGAGGAGGAGGUGAAGGAGGAGGGAACUUGUCCUGUUGCGGGGCUAGCAGUUUGCGGGGCAGGGGAAGGGUGCUGACCCCAUGGAGGAACCCUUCCUCCCCAAGUAGUGCUCUCAAAGGAUUAUGUCUGAUGAGCCUCACAUUCUCGUCUCUCUUCCCCACGGUAGACACGUAGACAUACCUAAAUGCAAGUAAUUUUUUUGUUUGUUUUUGUUUCUACAGGUCUGAAAAGGAAGAAGGUUGUCGUCAGCAUGGCAGGGAUCUACUUCCCAAAACACUAUACACGAUAGGCAUAAAUUGCCCUUCCACACCCCGAUCCUGUUCCAAUAGUUGCCUGUUGCCUGUCCUUAACUAAUAUCUGGUCUCAUGCUGGGCCUCAAGGAAUGAUAUAAAAGAAGAGGAAAUUAUUAUCUGUACAGCCCAGCUGCUUAUACUGUUAGAUGCUGGGUCAGGCAAACCACCAGUUCCACUUUAAAGAUCCAGUUUUAAUUUAGUCUUAGAAAUCAGAAGUCCCCAGCCAGAAGAACCAAUGGAUUAAACUAUUUCAGAAACUGAUUUUUUUGACCCCAGCUGUGUGUCAUCCACACGCUGUGUCACCACGCUCUCUGGAAAACACAGCGUGUGGUGUGAUUUCACAGCACUCUUGUUUCCCACCACGCUUGUGAGACAGAACUGCACCAUGGCACAUCUCACCCGGGAGACAGCCUCUCCUGGCAGGAUGCUUCGUACCAGGCACAAGGUCUGUUCUGUAGUGAUAAAACACUAAUGGAGAGCAAGUGAAGGCCCAGUGUCAUUCCAGGGAAAGACAGACCACUUAGAAGAAGCUCAGAGUUUCCAAGCAGGUAUUUCAUAUAUACUAAGGGGGGAUAUUGGAAGUGAGUCUAAAGAAGGCCAUUCAGUCUCACAGCACUUCUUGUCUGCAAAUUUGUCCUAACUAAUAAAAUGGUUGAUCAGAUAUUCUCCCUCA
rnacentral:lncRNA from 1 species